UUCAUUCAAGGAAAAAAAAAAAAGGUAAUAGUUUGGCCAAUAUUCGUUUAAUUUUUAAUGGAUUGUUUGGGCUGAAGGCCCAUGAUCCAUUCCAGAUCCCCUUGCCUAAGUCGCUACUCCGCCUGCAACAAGUGCUAGUGGGCACAAAAAUGGAGUUCGCAAGCAGAUUGGUCACGUGGCUAUCGAUGUGCUGUUGUGGAGUGCUUCAGGGGUGUAGCUGUAGAAAGUAACAAAGGUUUUGGUGGAAUUUGCAAGCAUUGAAGACCACCUUCCAGCAUCUCUAAGACCUUUGUCAUUGAUGGUCUAUCUGAGGGAUUGGUUUGAAUGCACCAAAAACCCACAAUGUACAUCUUUCUGGUGAUUAUCUCUGCUUCCUCGACUGUUAUAUUCUCAUCAAGAAUAGAAUUCUGCCCCAAUUCAAGAUGCUUAUAAAUCCAAUCCGGAAAAUACAUUUCGCUGCUUUGAGAUGCUCCAACAUCAAUAUUGUUUCUUCCUCCAAACAUUUCAAGAAUCAUCAUUCCAUAACUAUACACAUCAGACUUGUAAGAAACUCUACCAAAGCUUCUCAUGAAUACUUCUGGAGCUAUAUAUCCUGGAGUCCCUCUCGCACCCAGCACUGAGACUAUACUUUCCUUUCUCUUGCAUAGCUUUGCAAGACCAAAGUCUGAGAUUUUUGGGCAAAAAUCUUCAUCUAGGAGAACAUUUUGAGGUUUUAUGUCAAAAUGCACGAUCCUGGUAUUACAACCACGAUGUAAGUAUUCUAGACCUCUAGCAAUGCCAAUUGCAAUAUCAUGUAAUAUUUUCUGCUCUAACCGGCAUUUGUUAUGCUCAGAACAUUGAUCAUUUAUGAACUUAUCUAGAGAUCCAUUUGGCAUGUA